rnacentral:misc_RNA from 1 species
AAGGAGUAAACGACAACCAACGCGAGAGCAAUAAGAUCUAACCCCAUCCGGUAGAUCAGCUCUAACGCACAGUCUGCACAAUCAAUCCUACCAAGAUUUCACUGAGAUACCUGCUCAGGUCUACAGAGCAUCUUUGACAAGUUGGGCGCGCGUGAAGGCGUGCAAUAGAGUGACUCGUAGAGUCGUCUGUCGCUGCGAGGCGAUGGACGAAGAAUUUGCGAGGGAGAGUUGUGAGGUU